AAACCAUAGUGGAGACACUUUACAAUCAAGCCCUUGAAUCUUUCCAAACUUUCAUAAAAUUUCUCAUUAUCCUCCUGAUAAAAAUCGAGAAUCUCUCGCCUGACAAC